AGCGCCCUACGGGGGGCAGCAGUGGGGAAUAUUGCACAAUGGGCGCAAGCCUGAUGCAGCGACGCCGCGUGCGGGAUGGAGGCCUUCGGGUUGUAAACCGCUUUUGUUCAAGGGCAAGGCACGGUCUUUGGCCGUGUUGAGUGGAUUGUUCGAAUAAGCACCGGCUAACUACGUGCCAGCAGCCGCGGUAAUACGUAGGGUGCAAGCGUUAUCCGGAUUUAUUGGCCGUAAAGGGCUCGUAGUCGUUUCGUCGCGUCAGGUGUG
rnacentral:rRNA from 1 species